UACGUAGGGUGCGAGCGUUUGUCCGGAAUUAUUGGGCGUAAAGGGCUCGUAGGCGGUUUGUCGCGUCGGGAGUGAAAACCUACAGCUUAACUGUGGGCUUGCUUUCGAUACGGGCAGACUAGAGGUAUGCAGGGGAGAACGGAAUUCCUGGUGUAGCGGUGAAAUGCGCAGAUAUCAGGAGGAACACCGGUGGCGAAGGCGGUUCUCUGGGCAUGAUCUGACGCUGAGGAGCGAAAGUGUGGGGAGCGAACAGG
rnacentral:rRNA from 1 species